rnacentral:rRNA from 1 species
AAUCAACGCUGGCGGCGUGCCUAACACAUGCAAGUCGAACGAGAAAGUGGAGCAAUCCAUGAGUAAAGUGGCGCACGGGUGAGUAACACGUGACUAACCUACCCUUGAGUGGGGGAUAACCUAGGGAAACCUGGGCUAAUACCGCAUAAUACCUACGGGUCAAAGGAGCAAUUCGCUUUAGGAGGGGGUCGCGGCAGAUUAGUUAGUUGGCGGGGUAAUGGCCCACCAAGACGAUGAUCGUAUCCGGCCUGAGAGGGCGCACGGACACACUGGAACUGAAACACGGUCCAGACUCCUACGGGAGGCAGCAGUGGGGAAUUUUGCGCAAUGGGGGAAACCCUGACGCAGCAACGCCGCGUGGA